rnacentral:rRNA from 1 species
AUUGAACGCUGGCGGCAGGCCUAACACAUGCAAGUCGAGCGGGGUUUUCGGACCUAGCGGCGGACGGGUGAGUAAUGCGUAGGAAGCUGCCCGAUAGAGGGGGAUACCAGUUGGAAACGACUGUUAAUACCGCAUAAUGUCUACGGACCAAAGUGUGGGACCUUCGGGCCACAUGCUAUCGGAUGCGCCUACGUGGGAUUAGCUAGUUGGUGAGGUAAUGGCUCACCAAGGCGACGAUCUCUAGCUGGUUUGAGAGGAUGAUCAGCCACACUGGAACUGAGACACGGUCCAGACUCCUACGGGAGGCAGCAGUGGGGAAUAUUGGACAAUGGGCGAAAGCCUGAUCCAGCCAUGCCGCGUGUGUGAAGAAGGCCUUCGGGUUGUAAAGCACUUUCAGUAGGGAGGAAGAGUUGAGUGUUAAUAGUACUCAGCUUUGACGUUACCUACAGAAGAAGCACCGGCUAACUCUGUGCCAGCCGCCGCAGUAACAC